GUUUAUCAGAAGAGAUCAGAAGCAGAGUCCAGCUGUGUGUCUAUGAGGAGUGAUGCGUCUAUGGAUCAUCCAGUAAAGUUUAAGAGUGGAGAUACAAAGACUGAUCUCAGUUCAGUUUAUCAGAAGAGAUCAGAAGCAGAGUCCAGCUGUGUGUCUAUGAGGAGUGACGCGUCUAUGAAUCAGCCAUUAGAUUAUAAGAGUGAAGAUACAAAGACUGAUCUCAGGCAUGAAGUCCUCAACAGGUUUAGAUCUAAUCUGAUGAAGAAGUUUGAGCGUCUGUAUGAGGG